rnacentral:rRNA from 1 species
AUACGGAGGGUGCAAGCGUUACUCGGAAUCACUGGGCGUAAAGCGCGCGCAGGCGGUCUUUUAAGUUGGAUGUGAAAGCCUACGGCUCAACCGUAGAACUGCAUCCAAAACUAUUAGACUAGAGUGUGGGAGAGGAAGAUGGAAUUAGUUGUGUAGGGGUAAAAUCCGUAGAGAUAACUAGGAAUACCAAAAGCGAAGGCAAUCUUCUGGAACACUACUGACGCUGAGGCGCGAAAGCGUGGGGAGCGAACAGGAUUAGAAACCCCAGUAGUCC